rnacentral:piRNA from 1 species
AAUUGUAGCACAGAAACCCGAAGGCGA